rnacentral:rRNA from 1 species
AUGACGUUUGGACUGACUUAGCUUGGUAGGCAUUCCAUCAACGACAUUCACCCUACCAUUCAUCGACUCAUUGUUGCAGAUAUGAUAGACAGAUGGGACCUUGAAGAUACACCAGAAACAGAAGAAAAAGUUCUCAAAAUUGCGAAAGAGAGAUAUAGAGGCUGGCGAUCAACUCUAAGCUCCACUUACAAGGCAUACAAAACAGAUGCAGCUAGAUUGGCUAAUCUGCCAGAAGAUUUACAACCAGAAGAGUGGGAAUGGAUGAUUGAGUACUUUGGCACUGAUUCAAAAUUUCAGGAACGCAGCCAAAAGAACGCUGAUAACCGUAAGAAACAGAAGACAAAACACAUAAUCAGAUCAAAAUCGUACUCGCAAGUUAGUUUUGAGAAGAGAAACUUGGAAACUGGAGAAGAGCCAGAUUAUAUUGCUCUAUGGGAACUCACCCACACAAACGAUGGAACAUGGUCUAACACAGAUUCCCAGAAAGUUUACGACCAAGCACUUCAAGAGGUUAAAAACAAAGAAGCUGAAACUUUAGGUCCACUUUCAAGUGAGCAGAAAAACAAUGUUUUCCAGACCGCUUACAAAGACACUCUGGAAUGCAAGUCAUCGCAGCCUCGUGGGUACGGAUACAUGGCCACAACUUCAACUGGUUCUGAAAAGUUCCGUAUCCAGAUUGAAGAGCAAGCUCAUGCUACAGCUUCCACCCAGGAGCGAAACUCUCAGCUCAGCCAGCAGGUCUAUGACUUAGAAGAUCAACUACAAGCUGAACGUGCUAACACACAAGAGAGGAUGAACUUGGAGCGUGCCGAGAGAGAACAACUUGAGGAGAGGUUAAAAGAAGAGCGUGCUGAAAGGGAAAGAUUGUUGCAAGAGGAGCGAACAUCAAGACUGGAAUUUGAAUAAAACAUGAUGGCAAAGUUUGUAGAAUUGAGCAAACAGAUGGAAACCUAACAGGUUCCUACGAAGAGGGUUGACAAAGAAAAUAGUAAUCCAAACUUGCAAAAUAUUUUUUCACAAACAUCUAGUCCUAAUAAGACUCCAGGUUCAAGGCCGACUGCUAUUUCUUCAAAUGCGCUCAUACAAGCUGCAGCAAGGCAAUCUCGAAUGUUUAAAGCAAUGGUAAGUCACAACCUUGCUUUCUCUUCAUGUUCACCUGCAUUUUAUACGUCAUUGGUCUUCAUAAUUAGCUAG